CUACCAAGUGGCACAAUACCUGUAUGUAGAUAGUGAAGUAAUAUUGUUCUACAUACACCUAUUGAGCCACCUGGUGG
rfam:Caenorhabditis briggsae complete genome, chrX